GACGAACGCUGGCGGCGUGCUUAACACAUGCAAGUCGAACGGUGACGGAGAGCUUGCUCUCCUGAUCAGUGGCGAACGGGUGAGUAACACGUGGGCAACCUGCCCCAGACUUCGGGAUAACGCUUCGAAAGAGGUGCUAAUACCGGAUACGAACUCCUUGGGCAUCCUUGGAGUUGGAAAGUUUUUCGGGUCUGGGAUGGGCCCGCGGCCUAUCAGCUUGUUGGUGAGGUAACGGCUCACCAAGGCGACGACGGGUAGCCGGCCUGAGAGGGCGACCGGCCACACUGGGACUGAGACACGGCCCAGACUCCUACGGGAGGCAGCAGUGGGGAAUAUUGCGCAAUGGGCGAAAGCCUGACGCAGCAACGCCGCGUGAGGGAUGACGGCCUUCGGUGG
rnacentral:rRNA from 1 species